UGGCUCUUCGUCGCAUGAUUGAAAUGUUCAUCUGAACUAAAAAGUUCUAAGUUGCUGGAAAAGUUCAGGUCUGACAGCAUUCGUGCAAGAAAAAACGUCAGAGUUAACGUUUCCGCUCCGGUGACCCUUCCUCGGAUCCGACUCCCUGUAAACUUAACAGGCGUGUCAGAUGUCUGACUGAAUCUUUCCCUGGACUGUGUUGAAACUCCUCUGACUUUUUUUAAAAAAAGCAUAUUUGCUUUGAAUCUGAGAGCUGAACGUGACCUCUGGGCUGCGAGCAGGAGCUUCUGAUGAAAAGAGAAACACAAGCUUGUGUUUUUGAGGCCAGACCUGGAAGCCAAUUGCAGGUUGGUUCUUGAUCAAAAACUCUAUUGACACUUUUAGCCGUGAAUGAGGUCUGUGUCUGAACCGGCGCCCACAAGUCUGGGAGGGGAUGUGAUCAAACAGAAGGAAAGGCUGGAGUUUUUGAUCAAAGAUAAUGGGAACUGGAGAUGCUGGCGAAUCCAAGGUCAGUGCCUUGUUGUUAUUGCAUCAAAUCCUUCAGGGUCUCCAAAAACGAACCUGACAUUUGGUGUUGCGAGCAGGAUUCCAACGUGUACAGCAGUCUCACAUGGAGGGCUGAAUAAGUGAUCGUUCGAGUGUCGGUGGAGUAAGACAGAGGGGCCCGCAAGCUUUGUACCACAUGCGAAUAACACCCCACUCUACUACUGGGCUCUUGGAAGCAGUACCAGCCUAUGGCCAACCUAGCAGAACACCCUGGGAUGUCAAUACCAGCCCACUCACCCAAAUUGACCUGAAUGUGAUGGGAGAAGAAAUGCAAAGGUACUUCCGGCAACUAACAUCAUCUUUAAAGUUUCUCCAUUCACAAGUGAAGUGCGCCUUCGGACCGCUUCCGCAGGCUUGGAACCAAGACCUCAAGAAUCAGGAUCGGUCUUCGUGGCCGCAGGUUGGAGAUUUUGUACUUGUCUGGGACUGGGCUCGUCCCAAGCUCGGACCAAGGUGGAAAGGACCAUAUCAAGUGCUUCUUCAAACUCCCACAGCACUUAAAGUUAAAGGACAGAAUCACUGGAUUCACCUAAGUGACUGCAAAUGAUGGAUUUCCUCAUCAGCUUGCAAUUGACUAUUGGACUGAGUAUGAUUCUGCCUGUGCAUGGCCAGCAGGACAACCUGUUUUUUAGAACACAAAUCUAGCUGCACGGGAAUCGGACAACACGUUACCUGCUAGCACGGUCUGUAGAAACAUUAUUUGUGGCAACACCAGCCUCGAACCUUCGUCAGCUUUAUGAAGUAGAGUAUUCCGGUAAACCUUGCCGAGGGGAGAGGGGAACUUGGACGAGAGGUGUGCAGGGUAAGUGUGUGGAAUUGGUAGUUAAUGUCCCCUCUGAUUGUGUGGACUCUAGACCUAGGUAUGGGAAAGAAGGGGCUAACUGUACAAAUCCCAACAGCUAUCCGUUUUGCUUUAAUGGAACUGGGACUUGUGUGCAUGCUCUAGUCACUAAUCACCCCCAAAAUGUUUCCUGGCCCCAUCGGUGCCUAAAAAGAAAUUGCACCGCUAGAGAAGGACUGUUGAACUGCCCCUGCUUAGAAGCUAAGCCAAUAACUGUGACCCCGGGCAAACUUUGGCCUUGUGGGGAUUGCAAUGGCACCCAUGUAGAAACGGACUACGGGUCAUUUCUGUUUAACCCUGCAAAUUUCCAUCCGUAUAAGGGUCAGUCCUCCUCGAAUAGCUAUCAAGGAAUGUGAGUCUGUUACCUGCUACCGGGCUAAGAAGGGAUUUGUUUUCCUCCUUAACGGGACCUUCACGUCUGCCACUCUGACUUUGCCAGUGCUGUUUGCUGUUGGGACCAUUGGGCCCCUCACGGUCCCUUGUACCCAACACGCACAGACUCAACGGCGAACUGUCACACACUUCCUGAGCUGGGAGUUUUAUGCUGCAUGGCAGAACCCAGUUGCCUUGGGCUCUUCCUUGGGAUACAGCUCCCUGGGAACAGUCAGCUUGGGAGGUUCCCCAUGGGUGGUGGCCACAAAAAAUCAAAAUUACCUUGUAUGCAGACUCACCACCCUGGGAAACAGCACAAUGAUGGCAUUGGAGGCAGUCAACCAAGAAUUAGCUGAACUUCGGCUCUAUGCACAACAAACUCGGUAUGCAGUGGACUAUUAACUGGCUCAGCAAGGAGGAAUAUGCACUAUUAUAGGGGACAAGUGCAUUACCCAUGUUACCAACAAGUCCUAUAACAUUACCCAGGCUAUUCAAGCCAUACAGGGGCAGUUGGAAUAGUACAGAGAGGGACUCCGACCUGGGGAGGGCUUGUUGGGAUGGCUUAUGAGCGGUUCUUGGGGCUCAUACUUGCUACAUGGGUUAGUUGUUCUAGUAGUUAUCAUAGCUGUCUGCCGUACAUUUAUGGAAUGCCUGAACCCUUGCUGCAGAUUUGUUUGACAGGCUGGCAGCUCCCUUCUCGGCCCCGAUAUAGGUUAUCAUGAGAUGAUAAAAGGAAGGAAUGAGAUGUUAUUGGGAUAACAUCCCACUGAUUUCUAUAUUUCUAUAAAUUAAUGUCCUUUAUCUGCCUACGCAUAGGUAUGCAGACACUGCCUUAAGCUUCCUGCCCGAAUAGAACUGAGUUAAACUGUACAAAUCUUUAUCUUCCUGCAUGGGGAUAUGUGGAAACUGUCUCAAAGUUAAGUGAGGAGCAUUUGUAAAGGUGUGAGACUUCUGAAGUGUGUAACUUGUGUCUCUGAUAAAGGGGCCAGGGCACUGACUUGUUCAAGCCAGACACUUCGGCAGCUUGAAAUUACAUUCUGCCACUUCGGCAACUUGAAAUCGCCUCCUAUCAUUAGCAGUCACUUCGUGAAUGGUGGAUACUAUAUCCUGGUCUUGUUAAGUUUUUGAUGUAAUAACUGUCUUGUAUAAUGUCUUUGUAGUAAUUGUUUCAUGUAUCUUAUCAUUGUGAGAUGUAAAAUUGCUUUAUGUAUUACGCACUUGGUAAAGUAUAAAAAGCGGGGACUGUCCGCACUUGGGGAGAAUUGCUUAAGAGACUCUGCACUCCAUGCCAGGUUGAGUACAGUGAUU